UACGUAGGGGGCUAGCGUUGUCCGGAAUCAUUGGGCGUAAAGCGCGUGUAGGCGGUCCGGUAAGUCCGCUGUGAAAGUCGAGGGCUCAACCCUCGAAUGCCGGUGGAUACUGUCGGGCUUGAGUCCGGAAGAGGAGUGUGGAAUUCCUGGUGUAGCGGUGGAAUGCGCAGAUAUCAGGAGGAACACCUAUGGCGAAGGCAGCACUCUGGUACGUGACUGACGCUGAGACGCGAAAGCGUGGGGAGCGAACAGGG
rnacentral:rRNA from 1 species